UACGUAGGGAGCAAGCGUUGUCCGGAAUCAUUGGGCGUAAAGCGCGCGUAGGUGGCCUCAUAAGUCCGCUGUGAAAGUCAAAGGCUCAACCUUUGAAAGCCGGUGGAUACUGUGAGGCUAGAGUACGGAAGAGGCGAGUGGAAUUCCUGGUGUAGCGGUGGAAUGCGCAGAUAUCAGGAGGAACACCAAUAGCGAAGGCAGCUCGCUGGGACGUUACUGACACUGAGGCGCGAAAGCCAGGGGAGCAAACAGG
rnacentral:rRNA from 1 species